GACGAACCGUGCGAACGUUGUUCGGACUCACUGGGCUUAAAGGGCGCGUAGGCGGUUCAUCAAGUCAGGGGUGAAAUCUUUCGGCUCAACCGGAAAAGUGCCCCUGAUACUGAUGAUCUCGAGGGAGGUAGGGGUCCGCGGAACUUCUGGUGGAGCGGUGAAAUGCGUUGAUAUCAGAAGGAACGCCGGUGGCGAAAGCGGCGGACUGGAUCUCUUCUGACGCUGAGGCGCGAAAGCCAGGGGAGCAAACGGG
rnacentral:rRNA from 1 species